rnacentral:rRNA from 1 species
CAAUAGCGUAUAUUAAAGUUGUUGCGGUUAAAAAGCUCGUAGUUGGAUUUCUGCUGAGGACGACCGGUCCGCCCUCCGGGUGAGCAUCUGGUUCGGCCUUGGCAUCUUCUUGGCGAACGUAUCUGCACUUGACUGUGUGGUGCGGUACCCAGGACUUUUACUUUGAGGAAAUUAGAGUGUUUCAAGCAGGCAUACGCCUUGAAUACAUUAGCAUGGAAUAAUAAGAUAGGACCUCGGUUCUAUUUUGUUGGUUUCUAGAGCUGAGGUAAUGAUUAAUAGGGAUAGUUGGGGGCAUUCGUAUUUAACUGUCAGAGGUGGAAUUCUUGGAUUGCGUUACGACAAACUACUGCGAAAGCAUUUGCCAAGGAUGUUUUCUAUUGAUCAAGAACGAAAGUAUGGGAGUCGAAGACGAUUAGAUACCAU